rnacentral:lncRNA from 1 species
CCAUUUUCUACAAGGUCAUGUUUGGUUUGUUUUCAAUAUGCUAUGAAUUUCCCUUUGUACGUCAAAAAAUUACUUCUACCAGAAACAUGAUAAAGCACACUAAGAUUGUAUUUUAUUUUGUUAUGAUCAUUCAGAAUGUUGAAGCUUCCAAGCGGAUGGAGAAAUGAUACAUCCACAGGAAGGCCAUAUGUAGAAAGCAACAUCAUUAUCUUUAACCAACAAGUUCAAAAACAAAAAUUAAAGACAGCAACAGCAGCUAAACUCUCACAGAGAUCUUUCUCCCACUCUAGCUGAACUGCAGCAGCAGCGCACUAACAUCAGUUAGACGGCGAGGCAGGACGCAACAACAUCAGCUAGAAGCAACCAGCAAAUGUAGGCUAGGUCAUGACGGUGGCACCGAGAUGGAGGAGGUGUCGGGCCAUGGCAGUGAAAAAUAACUGUGAUUGAAACCACGUGAUGUACCUAGGUGUUACAAGAAAAGAAAUAGUAAGCACAUCAAGUUUCAGCGCCUCUUCCACACACAGAUGUGCAACAAAAUUGGAAUUCCUUCUUAUAUAGAUGAACUUGAACCCCUGAAACUUGUGAGAUAUGAACGCAUUUCUCGGAAGCCAUCAACCACCUCAGAGAAAGCCCUGGAAUCCUCUGACAUCGUGCAUUAUCAAACUUGGUCUUCAGUCUCAAUAAUAUUAUUUCAGAAUCCUCUUUCAAUCGCCAUCAACAUGGUUGUCCCUGUAGGCCAACUAUCAACUUUACCAUUCUGAAAGUACUAGAUUUUGGCAAAGUGUGUACCAGCUACUGAAGAAAUUGAAGAUAGUUGCAAACAACAUACGAGCUACAACCUAGCAGUUUGCAAGCACACGAGUGAAGGCAGUGCCUUUGUUCUUCUUGAACUUCUAAUUUUUCUGAUUCUGAACUUGCGGCUGUUCUUUUUUUGUAGGGUGCAGUGCAACUGACGGUGCUCGGAGGCCAGCUUCACUCCAUCAAGUAGCCACGUCCAACGCCGCACAUGACGGCAAGCAGGGGAGGAAGGAGAGACAGACCUGGCAGCAAGCGGGGGAGGAGCCAGAGAAGCGCUACGUCGGGGAUGCAGGGUGAAAUUCAACCUAAAGUGCAGAAACACACAUGAAAAACACUCUUAAGUAAUCCAAGCUAUAUCAAUUAGCAGGCAAGGACUAAGCUAGAAGGGAAAACAAACACACAAAACUGGUACUACUGCACUGAGACAUUUUAGUGAACAUUUUGUGUGCACACACCAAAAUCUAGAGAAGUGAAGAGUGAAGAAGCAGAGAGGAGGAACGGUGGGUAGGAGCCUGCGCGGUGCAGUGUCUGCAUUCAGGGACAAGCUGGGGAUGGAGGAGCUCGCUGGAGCAGCACCAACCCCAUGCGCGCAAAAUUGGAGCCGGUUGAGCGUGAGAUGCAUCCUAGAAGAGUCGCCCUGCUGCUAUGGCGCGACUUGGACUGCAGCGACUCACCUAUUUUUUUAUGCAUACGCGAGGAAGGAGGCAAGCAGCAGGAUGGGCCAUGAUCAUCGACCAGGAGCCAGAGGAGAGGAGUGGAUCAUUGGGGGCGGCGACACAUCGGGCGGUGGAUGAAGGAGGGCUACUUCCUUGUGGCGGAAGUGCCCUUGAGUCGGAAGGAGGCAGGGGCACCGGCGUGCCUGGAAGAGGCGGCGGCCUCGCGCCGGAAGGAGGCACGGGCGCGACGUGCCUGGAGGAGGAGGCGGCCUCGGCAGGAAGAGGCAGGGUCGCCGGCGGGCCAGGAGGAGGCGGGGGCGGCGGCGGCCUCGUGCCACCGGAAGGAGGCUGAGGCGCGGACGGCCCCGCGCCCAGAGGAGGCUGGGGCGGCGGUGAGCCGGAAGGAGGCGGGGCCGGCAGGUGCGCCGGAGCCGGGGGCAGUUGGUCGGGGGGUUGCGGGUGGGAUCGGGGGUGGUUGCGAGGGAAAGUGCGCGACGGGGGGAGGGGAAGCCGGAUAAGGUACGGGAGAUUUUUUUUUCUUUUCGGUUCGCUGC